GGCCAUGCCCGUUCUAGAGGCCUAGGACAUCACCCUUUCACGGUGAGUACCGGGGUUCGAAUCCCCGUAGGGUCGCCA
rnacentral:tRNA from 1 species